rnacentral:lncRNA from 1 species
CCCACUUGACUUUAUCAGUGAAUGCCUGAACGGAAAUACAGAUUUCUGCAUUAUCCAUAGUUGAAGCUGCUCACCCCUUUAAGUAUAUGCCCCUGCAUUCCCUGUUUCCUUUACGUCUUUCCCUCCUCUUCGGUGCUGUCUUUUGGUGCUAUCUCAUUACGAUUGAAACAAUAACCCACAAUCUAUACAAUGUCUUUAUGCUUUAUGUCUCGCGUCUUCAUGAUCCGUUAGAGAGGUGAAAGUGGGGUUAACCUAUUUAGUAGAAUAUUUCUCAAUAGCUGUUCCACUUGUGAAGUCAAAGUCCGCUAUGCUACUCACAUCGACCGUAGAGCUAUAGUGAUCUCUCCCUUUUGGGACGGAUUGUGAUGCUUAUUCUUCCCAUUUCAUUGACCGAAGGUACGGUGAACCUAAACAAACUAGUUCUAAACCGUGUUGAUUCAUUUCGAACGUUGAAUGAUAAUCGAUACACAGGCCGGGGAGAUUGGAGAUAUCUGGAAUUUGGAUUUGUUCAUUAUAGUGGGGGAUAUCUAUAUCCAUCCAAAUGUGUCGUUAAGGGCUGGAUGGUAUAUCCCAGUUGUAGAAACAAUUGCUUCGGUUCUUGGGAUAUGGAGUAGUUGUUGAUCAAUGCUUUCAUCAUAGAAUUCGAAACACUCAAAGAAGCGAGCAAGGGACAGACCACUUCUAUAGGGGGCUUGAGCUUUGGACUAUGUGCGGGGCUAGGCUAAUCUAAAAUAGUCAAUAGUUGGGGCUGAAGUCAGAAAUGAGCUUUUUCUCUCGGAUCCGCAUUGGCUGAAAGCGCAGGAACACUUUGGGGCUUUCCUACACUAGUUUCAACCUGCUACUCUCUUUACUGAAUAACUCUUCCAAUGAGUUUAGGAGCUUUUUUGCUUUGCCUUCUGCUUUAACCACUAGAAAACUGCCUGAAGUGAGGAUUUCAUAAACCUCUGUAUACUGACCGCUUUCCCACUGAAUGAGUACUCGAUGUCCCUUCUAUCUUAGGAAUAGAUAUGACUUGAGAAAAGGAUCUAAAACCCUCAAACAAAGGUCAUUAGCUUAUCCUUAUCUGAGAUGAGAAGUCGUUAGACUUAACUACUCUAAUAUACUAGAAGAAAUGCUUGAAGUAAUUUCACUAGAAGAAAUGCUUGAAGUUAUCCGUGAUCGCCAAGAAAGCCUCACUCUGCCUCCCUAGUAGCCUGCCCACUAGCCAAGAAAGCCUCACUCUGCCUCCCUACUCGCCUUGGAAACCAGCCUAAGAAUGCCUAAUGCCAGAUGAAUACCCUUAUUUCUAG